rnacentral:lncRNA from 1 species
CUUCAGCCUCCCAAGCUGCUGGGAUUAUAGGGGUGUGCCACUGUGCUCGGCCUUUGGCUGCUGUUUGUUAACCUUUUAAUCUUAAUUGCCUAGCAGAGGGACUGGACCAGGUAGGUGGCAUGUACCCAGACCAGGGUACAUGGACAGUGCAUGCUGGGUCUUGCUUGCGUAUCAGGAACACCCAGGGGGGCCUCCCCAGGCAGGUCUCGUAGGGUCCUGAGCACUGCUGCUCCUGUGCUGAGGCUGGAGGUUGGCAGGGCCCUCACGUCUUGGCCUUCUUCCCUGAGGUAAGGACUGUGUCAGGCACUGUCAGUGUGGGAGGCACUGAGCUCAGUACUGGGUGCUGGCUCUACUCCCAGCACCCACUUCUGUUCUGGGGGUUGCUCGCCCUCUUGGAAAUGGAGUUCCUUGAGGGCAGAGGCCAUGUGGUGUCUGGCAGAGGAGGGAGGCUUUAUCAGUGCCUGUUGACUGUGUGGUCCACCUGCUGAGUGGGCCUGGUCAAUCUGCCUGGGUGGCUGGCUGGGGACAUCACUCCUGACUUGGCCUCCCCAACAGUCUGGCUCUAGGGCUGUGUACCUCCCAGCCCAUAUGACCCAGCUGUGAGGAAGGGCUUGAACCCUAGGGGUACCAAGGCCUGUGGUUGGCCAGUGGCUAGAAUUCCCCAGGAGACAGCCUUUGCAGUCCAGCUCUGACCUUGCAUGGAGCCAGGUGACUGGAAGUCACUUCAUCCAUGCCCGGGGCCUGUGCUGUUGAGAUCAGGUCACCGCGCAGGGAGCCCGUGUCCACCCACAGUGGCGCCUCUUGUCCUGGACAGCUGUGCCAGGAGGGAGCCAUUCGGGGAGCACCAGUGUGGAGUCGGGCUAGUGUCAAAUUCCUGCUCUGUCGUGCAUUAGCUGUGACACUUUUGCCCAAAUCUGUUUUCUCAUGUAUAAAUGGGGGUAUUUACAAACAAUGGAAUAUCAAGAGCAAGUCACUACCAUGUGGGUGAAUCUCGAAAACAUGAUGCUAAGUAAGAAGCCAGGCACCAGAGAUCUGGGUAUCAGACAUCCAAAUUAGGUAAAUCCAGAGGGACAGGAAUUAGAUGGGUGGUUUCCAGGAGUUGGGAGAGCAACUACCUAAUGGGUCCACACGUUCUUUUGGACUAAUGAAAGUGUUUUGGAACCAGGUGUGGUGGUGGGGGAUUCACACAACAUUGACAGUGUA